rnacentral:rRNA from 1 species
UGCAGUCGAACGAGACGGGAUGGAAUGACCCUUCGGGGGAAUGAAAUCCUAGAAAGUGGCGAACGGGUGAGUAACGCGUGGGUAACCUGCCCUAUGGAAAGGAAUAGCCUCGGGAAACUGGGAGUAAUGCCUUAUAAUAUACGAGAGUCGCAUGGCUUUUGUAUUAAACGCUCCGGUGCCAUAGGAUGGACCCGCGUCCCAUUAGCUAGUUGGUGAGAUAACAGCCCACCAAGGCAACGAUGGGUAACCGGUCUGAGAGGGCGAACGGUCACACUGGAACUGAGACACGGUCCAGACUCCUACGGGAGGCAGCAGUGGGGAAUAUUGCGCAAUGGGGGCAACCCUGACGCAGCAAUACCGCGUGAGUGAAGAAGGUUUUCGGAUCGUAAAGCUCUGUUAUUGGGGAAGAAAAAAGACGGUACCCAAGAAGAAAGUCCCGGCUAACUACGUGCCAGCAGCCGCGGUAAUACGUAGGGGACAAGCGUUGUCCGGAUUUACUGGGCGUAAAGGGCACGCAGGCGGUUUUUUAAGUCAGAUGUGAAAGGUACCGGCUCAACCGGUGACAUGCAUUUGAAACUGAAAGACUUGAGUAUUGGAGAGGCAAGUGGAAUUCCUAGUG